rnacentral:rRNA from 1 species
CCUACGGGUGGCUGCAGUCGAGAAUCUUCGGCAAUGCGCGAAAGCGUGACCGAGCGACGCCGCGUGCGGGAUGAAGGCCUUCGGGUUGUAAACCGCUGUCGUAGGGGAGGAAGGCUCCAUGAAGAAUGGGGUUUGACCUAUCCUAGGAGGAAGGACGGGCUAAGUUCGUGCCAGCAGCCGCGGUAAGACGAACCGUCCAAACGUUAUUCGGAAUUAUUGGGCUUAAAGGGUGCGUAGGCUGUGCAGUAAGUUAGGUGUGAAAUCCCUCGGCUCAA